rnacentral:rRNA from 1 species
CCUACGGGAGGCAGCAGUGGGGAAUCUUAGACAAUGGGGGCAACCCUGAUCUAGCCAUGCCGCGUGAGUGAUGAAGGCCUUAGGGUUGUAAAGCUCUUUCAGCUGGGAAGAUAAUGACGGUACCAGCAGAAGAAGCCCCGGCUAACUCCGUGCC